rnacentral:lncRNA from 1 species
AUCGAGUUUGUAAUAGUAUAUAUUGACAUUGAUAUUAUGAAUAUAAUGAUCUCAGUGAUUACAAGCCUGAUUGUUGAGAUGGUAUCAGUUGUGUGAACAAUUCAGUGAGUAAUUAACGAUUGAGAUUCCUUCUUAAAGGAUUGUUCAUGGCUGAUCUACCUAGGUCCGAUGAGACUGAUCAACAUAUAGUAAGUGUUGUAAAAUGUAUCAGGCAACUAUUGAAGCAUAGUGAUACCUACCUCUUUUGGCGUUCCCAAUUUGAGGAUCUUCUUAAUUAGACGGAUAUGGCUGACCCUGAGCAAAUCGUCCCUGCAAUGCAAACGGCGGAGGGAGCACCUAAUCUUGAAUAUAAGGAGUGACAGAAGCGGAAUUGGGUGCUUGUGUCUUGGAUCAAAUCAUCGGUUGGCAUAUCGCUAUACCCGUUUGCGACUGUAUGGUAGAACAUGGAGAAGAAGCUUUCGCCGUAGAUGGAAAUUUAUUCCAAAUCAAUCAGGGACAAAUUGCGCGACUUGAAGAAGAGGGAUGAAAUGGGGAUGAAUUACAAUGUGUUUUAUUUUGGCGCGAAAGAUUUGAUUGACUGCGAGGUAAUUAAC